AACAUGCCUCCUUGUGGGGGACAACACCGCGAAAGCGGUGCUAAUCCCGCAUACGCUCGGCAACGAGGAAAGCGGUAACGCGCAGGGAGAGUGGCCCGCGGCCCAUCAGGUUGUUGGUGGGGUAAUGGCCUACCAAGCCGGUGACGGGUAGCUGGUCUGUGAGGACAGACAGCCAGACUGGGACUGAGACACGGCCCAGACUCCUACGGGAGGCAGCAGCAAGGAAUUUUCGUCAAUGGGCGCAAGCCUGAACGAGCAACGCCGCGUGGAG
rnacentral:rRNA from 1 species